GCAGUGGCAGCUCAGACUCACGGGGCUGGAGGCCAAAGCAGGGAGAAGCUGGUCUGCAGCCCACUCCAUUACAGUUCUAAGUUCUACGUGAUGAAGUAUCUGGUGUUUAGAACUCCUUUUUGAAGUUCUCAGUAGUUGGAUGCAGAAACCUUUGUGAAAAUAUCUGCUUUCAAAUUCAGAGAUUCAGCAAGUGAGCACUGGAAUCUAGUCUGAACUUCAGAAGAGCACUGUCCUGUUCCAGAGUGAGUACUGCUAUUCUCUCAUAGAAUAGGAGUGUCCAUACAUUGACAGUAGUUCAUAAUACAGUAGAUCUUUGCUGCUUA